rnacentral:rRNA from 1 species
GUCCUUUUGAUAUUAAUUUAAGGUCUAACCUGCCCACUGAAAUUUAAAUGGCCGCAGUAAUUUGACUGUGCAAAGGUAGCAUAAUCAUUAGUUUUUUAAUUAAAAGCUUGUAUGAAGGGUUGGACGAGGUAAAAUCUGUCUCUAUUUAAUUUAUUAUAGAAUUUAAUUUUUAAGUUAAAAAGCUUAAAUAUUUUUAAAAGACGAGAAGACCCUAUAGAUCUUUAUAUUAUUAAUUUUAAUUUUAAUUUAGAAUAUUUUAUUUUUUAGUUUUAAUAUUAUUUUAUUGGGGUAAUAAAAAGAUUUAAUUAAUUCUUUUUUUAUUUAAACAUUUAUGAAUGAAUAUAUGAUCCAAUUAUUUUGAUUAUAAGAUUAAGUUACCUUAGGGAUAACAGCGUAAUUUUUUUAGAGAGUUCAUAUCGAUAAAAAAGUUUGCGACCUCGAUGUUGGAUUAAAAAUUAUCUUAGGUGUAGAAGUUUAAGAUUUUGGUCUGUUCGACCAUUAAAUUUUUACA